CAUUUUCAGUGGAAGCACUUAGAUGGGUAUAGGGAGACUGAAAUAAUCAUAGGUAUGGGGAGACUGAAAUAAUCACAGGUAUGGGGAGACUGAAAUGAAAUCAGGUAUGGGGAGACUGAAAUGAAAUUAGGUAUGGGGAGACUGAAAUGAAAUCAGGUAUGGGGAGACUGAAAUAAUCACAGGUAUGGGGAGACUGAAAUGAAAUCAGGUAUGGGGAGACUGAAAUGAAAUCAGGUAUGGGGAGACUGAAAUGAAAUCAGGUAUGGGGAGACUGAAAUAAUCACAGGUAUGGGGAGUCUGAAAUAAUCACAGGUAUGGGGAGACUGAAAUAAUCACAGGUAUGGGGAGACUGAAAUGAACAAAGGUAUGGGGAGACUGAAUUCAACAGAGGUAUGCCCUGAGUAACUGCAGCUGG